UGCGCAGGCGGUUUGAUAAGCCAGAUGUGAAAUCCCCGAGCUCAACUUGGGAACUGCGUUUGGAACUGUCAGACUAGAGUGCGUCAGAGGGGGGUGGAAUUCCGCGUGUAGCAGUGAAAUGCGUAGAGAUGCGGAGGAAUACCGAUUGCGAAGGCAGCCCCCUGGACAGUGACUGACGCUCAUAUGCGAAAGCGUGGGGAUCAAACAGGAUUAGAUACCCCAGUA
rnacentral:rRNA from 1 species